rnacentral:sRNA from 1 species
GCUAGAUAACCUGACAUCGAUCACCUCACUGGUCACCAGAUUCCAUUCUUACUACUAACCUAGUUGGCGGGGGUGGAUAUUUUCUUCCUCUUCAUAGCAUGUGUGUCUUACUUGAAACAGGUCACUCAAUCAAGAAGGAUUACCUCUCUUUGUCCUAGAGGACCUUUUUGUGAACAAGAAUAUAGGGGUUAAGACUUUAUCCUACCGAAACAUCCAAACAAAGUCGCUCAGCUGUUAUAU